UGCAAUCUUCACUUCUAAAGAUUUUUUCUUAUUGAUUGAUUCACCUCCAUUGAUUUAGGGCUCUCAUCCACAAUGAACGCACGCAUCAGUUAUCAAGAUAUCAUCAGACCUUUUGCUGAGUCUGUAUUGCAAGGAAAUAUUAGUAAGGGGCCAGCACAAAAUACACAAUGGAUACACGAUACUCCAGUCCUUUCCAAUGUGGAGGCCAAAUUGAGGCAGCUCCUUGUUGAGCUGGGAAAUGCUGACAAAAUACUUGGUAUCCAAGUAUGUGCCUAUAAAGAUGGAGAGGUAAUAAUUGAUACAUGAGCUGCCGGAAUGCUGGGUAGAUAUGAUCCUCGCCCAGUGCAGCCUGUUAGCUUGUUUCCUGUAUUUUCUGUCACGAAAGGGAUUGCAGCUGGAUUGAUGCAUUGGUUGGUUGACAAUGGAAAAUUGAAGCUUGAGGAGAAUGUCUCAAAUGUUUGGCCAGAUUUUGGAACAAAUGGGAAGGAUCAAAUAAAGGUGUGAUCUUUGUGUUCUGUGUUUUUACUCCUCUCAUAUUGUAUGUCCUCCCUAUAAAAAAAAUAGUAAGAAUAGUUUAGACAAAAUACCAAUCAUGACAUAAAAG